UAUUAUAUUUAAUGUUAAUUAAUUAUCAAGGUAUUAAUAGAAAGUUCUUGAAACCUAAAGAAUUUGGCGGUAUUUUAGUCUUUUCAGAGGAAUCUGUCCUGUAAUUGAUGUUACACGAUUUGUUUAACUUGAUUUUGUUAUCAGUUUAUAUACCGCCGUCAUAAGAUUAUUUUUAUUUAAGAAUUAAAUUUUCUUUUCUUUUCAUUAAAUGAUAUGUCAGGUCAAGGUGUAGCUUAUGAUUAAGUAGAGAUGGAUUACAAUAAUAUUAAUUAUUAUGGAUAAUUAUUUUAGGUUAAUUUGAAGGUGGAUUUGAUUGUAAAUUUAUUUUAAUUAUUAUGUUGAUUUAAGCUCUAGAAUGUGUACAUAUCGCCCGUCGCUCUCGUUAAUUAAGGUGAG
rnacentral:rRNA from 1 species